rnacentral:rRNA from 1 species
AUCGAACCUGCCCCUGUCAGGGAAUAGCCCAUGGAAACGUGGAUUAAUGCCCCAUGGCACCCUUGUACCGCAUGUACGGGGGUUAAAGAUUUAUCGGACAGGGAUGGCGAUGCGUGCCAUUAGCUGGUUGGUAAGGUAACGGCUUACCAAGGCAACGAUGGCUAGGGGCCCUGAGAGGGGGAUCCCCCACACUGGUACUGAGACACGGACCAGACUCCUACGGGAGGCAGCAGUGAGGAAUAUUGGACAAUGGUGGGAACACUGAUCCAGCCAUGCCGCGUGCAGGAUGACUGCCCUAUGGGUUGUAAACUGCUUUUAUACGGGAAGAAACCCAGGUACGUGUACCUGGCUGACGGUACCGUAAGAAUAAGGACCGGCUAACUCCGUGCCAGCAGCCGCGGUAAUACGGAGGGUCCGAGCGUUAUCCGGAAUCAUUGGGUUUAAAGGGCCCGUAGCGGGCGAUAAGUCAGAGGUGAAAGGCCACGGCUCAACCGUGGACUGCCUUUGAUACUGUCGGUCUUGAGUCAUGGUGGGGUUGCCGGAACAUGUGGUGUAGCGGUGAAAUGCAUAGAUAUCACAUAGAACACCGAUCGCGAAGCAGGUGGCCAACCAUGGACUGACGCUGAUGGACGAAAGCGUGGGUAGCGAACGGGAUUAGAUACCCCGGUAGUCCACGCCGUAAACGAUGGACACUAGCUGUGGGGCCUUUGGCUCCGUGGCCAAGCGAAAGUGAUAAGUGUCCCACCUGGGGAGUACGUUCGCAAGAAUGAAACUCAAAGGAAUUGACGGGGGCCCGCACAAGCGUGGAGCAUGUGGUUUAAUUCGAUGAUACGCGAGGAACCUUACCAGGGCUUAAAUGCAGUCU